rnacentral:tRNA from 1 species
CUUUUCCACUAGUGGUAGAGUAAUGCCGCGGCAAGACAGAAGUCAUCGGUUCGAAUCCGGUAGAG